rnacentral:rRNA from 1 species
UACGGGGGGAGCAAGCGUUGUUCGGAUUUACUGGGCGUAAAGGGCGCGUAGGCGGUCAGCACAAGUCAGUUGUGGAAUCUCCGGGCUUAACUCGGAAAGGUCAACUGAUACUGUGCGACUAGAGUGCAGAAGGGGCAACUGGAAUUCUCGGUGUAGCGGUGAAAUGCGUAGAUAUCGAGAGGAACACCUGCGGCGAAGGCGGGUCUCUGGGCCGAUACUGACGCUGAGGCACGAAAGUGUGGGGAUCAAACAGG